CCUACGGGGGGCAGCAGUGAGGAAUAUUGGUCAAUGGGCGGGAGCCUGAACCAGCCAAGUCGCGUGAGGGAAGACGGUCCUAUGGAUUGUAAACCUCUUUAGGCGGGGAGCAAUGCCGGGCACGCGUGCCCGGAGGGAGAGUACCCGCAGAAUAAGCAUCGGCUAACUCCGGGCCAGCAGCCGCGGUAAUACGGAGGAUGCGCGCUUUAUCCGGAUUUAUGGGGUUUAAGGGGUGCGUAGGCGGAUUUUUAAGUCAGCGGUAAAAUGUCCGGGCUCAACCCGGGCCGGCCGUUGAAACUGGGGAUCUUGAGUGGGCGAGAAGUAUGCGGAAUGCGUGGUGUAGCGGUGAAAUGCAUAGAUAUCACGCAGAACUCCGAUUGCGAAGGCAGCAUACCGGCGCCCGACUGACGCUGAGGCACGAAAGCGUGGGGAUCGAACAGGAUUAGAUACCCGAGUAGUC
rnacentral:rRNA from 1 species